GGGGUAUAUUGCACAAUGGGCGGAAAGCCUGAUGCAGCAAUCGCCGCGUGCGGGAUGACGGCCUUCGGGUUGUAAACCUGCUUUCAGCCUGUGACGAAGCGUGAGUGACGGUAAUGGGUAAAGAAGCACCGGUCUAACUACAGUGCCAGCAGCCG
rnacentral:rRNA from 1 species